AAUGCCUAGGAAUCUGCCUGGUAGUGGGGGAUAACGUUCGGAAACGGACGCUAAUACCGCAUACGUCCUACGGGAGAAAGCAGGGGACCUUCGGGCCUUGCGCUAUCAGAUGAGCCUAGGUCGGAUUAGCUAGUUGGUGAGGUAAUGGCUCACCAAGGCGACGAUCCGUAACUGGUCUGAGAGGAUGAUCAGUCACACUGGAACUGAGACACGGUCCAGACUCCUACGGGAGGCAGCAGUGGGGAAUAUUGGACAAUGGGCGAAAGCCUGAUCCAGCCAUGCCGCGUGUGUGAAGAAGGUCUUCAGAUUGUAAAGCACUUUAAGUUGGGAGGAAGGGUUGUAGAUUAAUACUCUGCAAUUUUGACGUUACCGACAGAAUAAGCACCGGCUAACUCUGUGCCAGCAGCCGCGGUAAUACAGAGGGUGCAAGCGUUAAUCGGAAUUACUGGGCGUAAAGCGCGCGUAGGUGGUUUGUUAAGUUGGAUGUGAAAUCCCCGGGCUCAACCUGGGAACUGCAUUCAAAACUGACUGACUAGAGUAUGGUAGAGGGUGGUGGAAUUUCCUGUGUAGCGGUGAAAUGCGUAGAUAUAGGAAGG
rnacentral:rRNA from 1 species